AAGGAUCAUUACCGAAAUGUCGACACGAGCUGUUGCUGGCCCUCGAAAGGGGACACGUGCACGCUCUGUCUACGCAUCCACUCACACCUGUGCACCCUCUGUAGUUCCAUGGCCUCGGGGACCCUGUUCCCUUGCUGUGGUCCUACGUAUUUACACACACACAGUAACAAAGUCUCAUGGAAUGCAUGUCGCGUUUAACGCAAUACAAUACAACUUUCAGCAACGGAUCUCUUGGCUCUC
rnacentral:misc_RNA from 1 species